rnacentral:rRNA from 1 species
UACGAAGGGGGCUAGCGUUGCUCGGAAUUACUGGGCGUAAAGCGCACGUAGGCGGCUUCUUAAGUCGGUGGUGAAAUCCUGGAGCUCAACUCCAGAACUGCCUUCGAUACUGGGAAGCUCGAGUCCGGGAGAGGUGAGUGGAACUGCGAGUGUAGAGGUGAAAUUCGUAGAUAUUCGCAGGAACACCAGUGGCGAAGGCGGCUCACUGGCCCGGUACUGACGCUGAGGUGCGAAAGCGUGGGGAGCAAACAGG